CUCGCGGCCGCGCUCGCCCCGCCCUCCCUCCCGCGCGGCGGUGUCGCGCCUCGGCCCCGCCGUUGGCGGCCGCCGUUGGUGCGCGAGGCGGCCCGGCGGCCCGGCCCGCGUUCCCGUCGCCUUUUGCCCUCGGUCAUUUCCCCACGCGCACUUCAAACGACGAGCAGAGCUGCGGCGCGCACUGCACGCGGGCGCUGGGCGUUCCGAGGCGGCCCGCCCGGUUCUGCCGAACGGCGGAGUCCGUCGCGUCGCCAACAAAACGGGCAGCACCGCAGUGCCGCCUCGGCCGUGCGUUUCGGGCACGUCUUUCGGCUGUGUCACCGUGCCCUGCUGCCAGGCCCUGCCCGGCCUGCCGCCCCCAGCGCGCACACGGGACGUGAACUGGAGUACUCGGUUUUCUUUUCCCUCUGGAAAACGGCAGAGCUUCCACUGCGUGGUGCGGGUUAAUCCCAGCAGUAGCAAAAGUGUCCCGGCCCCCGAAUGCAGGCCGCUGGUCCUUGAAAGAAUGGGGGUUUCCUACUCAGUUGGUUUUUUAUUGUUUUUUUUUUUUUUUAAGACUUGCUGGAAAUCAGCAAGGGAAGUGUGUUCUAACCACAGGAGCACGUGAGGGUACGCGCUGACAGGGACUGCUCGGCCAGUGAGGUUUUGCAGUUAGCUUUAUUUUCCUAACGCCCAACCUGAGCCUCCCCUGGCACAACGUAAGGCCGUUCCCUUCUGUCCCCUCCCUGUUACCUGGAAGAAGAGGCCGAUGCUUUACAGGAGCGUGUGUUUCAUUUCCUUCAUCUUACGUGCUGCCUUUUGUCUAAGUUGGAUGAUGUCAGAAAGAGCCAGCUGCGCCUGCAGCACCUCCGAAACCAGCAUUGGUUCUGAGGAAUUCUCAAAUAACUGAUGGUUGUUACAAAAGCACGUCUGCAGAGCUUCCCCCCAGCUCACACCCCACCAAAACCCAUGCUCUUAAUAACAGGGCUGCAUUCAUGCAUCCAGCAGCGCUAUGAAGUUGUGGCAUUAUCUGCGAGUCACCCCGCUCCAGUUGUCACUCCUAACCUCCAAUGUUCAGGUGUGAGACGGAGAGCUAAAGUAGAUUUAUAAAUAGCUCUGCAGAUGACAGGCUGGGGGUGAUCCAGGAGGAACGAGCGGAACGUUGCAGCCACCUCACUCCCACCUCCUGCUGCGGCUGUACAAAAAUCACAGCAACAAAACAGCACGUGAUACACGUUGGCAGAUCUGUCAGAAUAACAGUUCUGUCCUCUCGUGUGGGUUUUGACUGCGGUACAGCGGAACACAAGCACAAGUUAAGGAUUCUGUUUGGUCGUAGUCACCACAAACUGAAUUGUAGGCUAAUACAAGUAAACUCAGUCUGAUCUCCUGAGGUUAUUGUUGUAUGUGUGAAAAAUGCAGUGCUUAUUUUUAAGAGAUGUGACCUGGUCUUUAUAGUUUGAUCUAAGAAGCAACUGACUUCUUUAACAGAAGAUUUAACACGGGAAAAGCGCGUCUUAAAUCUCUUUGGCUGUCAAAGCACCUGGCAGAGGACAGAUGGACCAAGUGCACCAAGUUCUGAGCUGCUAGCAGGGAGCUGCCCUCCUGGUCUCAGCACUGCAGCGUGAGGCCAGGAAGUGGCACUGAGGGAUCGGCCCUCUGCUGAGCUGGUCUCAGCCAAGCAGGGCUGCAGCAGUGCUCAGUUUGGUUCUGCUACAAACCUGCACUUUCGUUCAUGUAUUACUUCAAAGUAAUCAUUUAAUUUGGUAAGCUUGAUGGCUCAAGCCUAGUUUCUUGCUAACGAAAGCAACCGUGUAAUUUUAUCAGUCAGUGUUGUGUUAUCGAACCCUGGAUAAGGUUGAAUAAUUACAAAGCACUGCUCUUCCUGGCACAAACAGCAUGGCCUAUCUGAGGCUAUUUGUUCAGUUUCUUUUCUGAUAGUGACCUCUGCUCUGAUCAAAGAGUUGCUCCUUCUAAUCUUGCAGCGUAGAACAAAUUGCUUUCCUCCAUUUUUAUAACACAGAGUUUCUACCUCCUCUCCCUGCUAGUUUGAGCCCUGUACGAGUGCAGCAGCAGUAAAAGCACUUGUAGCCUUUGGAGAAGCCUGGUGUUAGAUUCAUCACGCUGGUAACCUGUUGGGUUUUUUUUUUUUUUUUGUCAUGGGGAAAAGCUGCUCAUGAAAGUCAGACAUGAAUCAAUGGAUUAAACAACGUUUUGGGAAGGCAUGAAAUUUCAAUUGGUUGCAUAAUAGCAUUUUAUAUUUUAGAACCCCCAAAUAAAACAUUCUUAUAGAUACCGUAAUAAUCAUCAAGACUAAUUUAUGAGGAAGGACUAAAUAAUUAAGGUUUUACUUCUUGUAUCCCAAUUUCCACAUGAGUGCCUGACCCAAUGGUGUGUUUCCCAUUCAGAGGGCUUUGAGGCAAUGGCUGACAUCACGAUAGAUCUAACAGGAUCUAAUCAGGAAAGUAAUGCCCAACAAACACAUUUCCUUUUGUGAGAUUGUGAGUUUGAGUAACUUCAGACUGUUGUUGUUGUUGUUGUUAGCAGAAAGCUGCAGAAAAUCUUUAGAAAAAUAAUCAUCCUUCAUUAUCCCUUUCAUCUGUGACCUCUACUUCAGUGUUUAUUCAAGUCUCUUUCAGUUAUUGGCCUCUAUACCAGAUGUCAAUAGUAGGAAAACCCAAGGUCUGCAUUCAGUGAAUGCUUUCAAGGGCUGUCUGAUGUGGGGGAGAUUCUUUAAAAAGUUCCGUGGGACAACUCGUGUGUUUAAACCUACUGUGUGGUGCAAACAUCAGCAUGGAUCUGCUUUCACUUUUGUUUAUUGCUACUGGAGGACGUAUUACCGUUAAAAUCAGGAAGCAGGGAUAUUGCUUUGCAAUUAGAACUGAUGCAAGAAGUGGACAAAGUUAGUACUGCUUUGAGUCUUGGUGACCCUGACGACACAUGCAAGUACAUAAUAUGCAUAGCUUCACACUGUACAUAUGGUUUUUGCCUCUCCCUCCUCUUCUGCCUCGAUUUUAAGUAUGCACCCUUUCCUUCCUGGUUCAUACAUAGGUCUCCUAAUUGAGCCCACCUAUGCUCUGUGCCGUGCAUUCCAGCACUCCUAAACACGCUCUGUACACACUCAUCUCAUACUUCUUAUGUAUUUUUUCACCCCAGGGAAGUUUGAAUGAUGAUCAGAAUGUCUGAAAUUAUCAGAUGAGGGAAAAAAAGGUGAAAGAAAGUGUCUCGUUCUUAAUGCACACCAAUUAAAAAAUGAAUAUUGACUUUAGCUCUGAUAACUUUUUUGAUAAUGCACUGAAUCAACACUUCUGAGUUGCUGAAAUGCCUUUCUUUCUGGCAGAGGUUACAUUCAUUUUUUCUCUAGUUUUGUUAAGACUUUCCAAAUGUUGAACCCCCGCUCAGAACUACUGCAGCUGCCACAAAGCUGCAUUUUCCUCUCGUCUCUCUCCAGCCAAUUUCAGUAGCAGCUUUCCUAUUGUGAAUACAACUGCUUUGGUUGAUUCUCUGUAAGUGCUAAAGGACAACAACCUUUUAAGGAAGCUGAACGCAGCCAGCCCAACACCGACCCUCCUCCUCAUUUUUAUCACUUCAUCUCACAAAUGACUACCUCUAGUUGUAAUAUUUGUGAGAGUGGGAGGAAACAUGGGAGGAGCACAGAAGUUACACAUCUCCAGAUGAGACGAUUAUCUAAAUGAGGUAUUAAAAAACUCGAACCAUGCCAUUCUCACUGGUUAUAGAAUUGGCGAAUUCGUGUCAUUGGAUGUCUUCAAUGCUCACAGCUUUAAUGGGACGCAAUUGUUGCAACUUCUGUGUGUGUUGCAGCAUUUUUAUUCAUAUGUUUCUGGGAACUGCAAACCCCAAAUUGCUGUAUUCCUUCAACAUAUGUACCAAAAAGACUGGGCUACUGCACCUUCUUGCUGCAUAGCAUUGCCUCAAAAAAAAACCAAAACAGAACAAAAAAACCCAAACAAACAGAUUAGACCAUACUUAAUUAUUUUAAACUACAAAAUCAAGGUUGUUCAGCAAUGAUGCAAUUACUGCUGUUCAUGUCAAAGGGAAAAAGAAGAAGAUGAUGACAAAUGUAUCCACGUUGAGAUAAUUACUUUUUCUGUGAUAUAUGUUUUCAGAUUGUUUAAAAGUCAGUUUUAAUAGUAGCACGCUAUUCAUGGAAAAAAAAAAGAUGAUAAACUAUUUUUAUGCAGCCAUGGUAACUGCUUUAACUUUUUUCAGUAUCUGUGUUUCUCCAUUCCAGAACACAUCCUGUGAGUAUCUCAGCUGGUGUGACUUUGUGAGUAAAGAAAGUCUGACUUGAACAAGUUCAGCGUUUGCCUGGAAGGACUGCUUAGAGUCACAGCAGCACUGUUCAUCAAGGGACUGCACCUCUCUCCAUGCAGAAGCUACUUCUCGGCAGAUUUUGUAUUGGAAAAGGCUUCCAUCAACCUUCCCAAGUGUCUCUCUCAGAUGGUUAAUAUGGUAUUAAAUCGCCUCAGUGAAAUGCAUACAAUCUCAGAAAUUCUAAACAAACACAUCACUGAGGAGAUGUAAAUCAUCAAUUCAAAGAACUCCUUAUUUGCUGAACAAACCAAGGAUGUUAUUUGCUUAGCUUUAUACUGACAAGCACUUGUCAGACUGUUUUUUGAGAGGUAUUCCUGCAGCUCAGUUGCUCUGAUGACUUGCCAGUUGCACAGUCUCCUCAAUGUCCAAGCUCUGCACUGCAUCUCUACUUCAGAAUUAAUUUUGGGGCGGAAAAAGACAACUCUGUAGCAAACUCCUUUCUAGGAUAGCUUUCAGUCACAGCAGGAACAGCACUUACAGUUUGAUCUCAUACACCCUGGCUUUGCUGGAGAAGCUCCUGGCAUGUUAUGUGAAGAGCUGGUUUCCGGAGAGCAUUGCCCUCGCACCCUGGAAGCCAACAGGAGAGGAACUAUGAUGUUAUAAAAAACAGUGCAGUUUAAGCAAAAUAAUUGAACAUUUGAUAUCUUUCUUUCUCUGAACUGUGUUUAUAACAGAACAAUUGACUCCCAACCUUUUCCAUGGGAGAUGAGUGUAAGACUACCCCAGCUGCCUGAAACCUCCACUCCCAGCGCAGGGAAUUAGAUUAAAAAUAUCAGCAUUCUUUAAAAAAAAAAAAAAAGACAAUGGAAAAAAACCCAAACCAAACCGAACAGGUGCAAAACUAGCGUUGGGAUGAUGUGAAGGGCACUUCUGUGAGAAGGCUCAUGUUGUGGGCUCAUGCUAGCACACCCUACAGUAAUGUAAACGGAAAAGUAACCUUUGCUUACAGCAGGAAGACUUCAGACUGCCAUUGGAUACCUCUGCAUUUCCCCAGGCACUACUCUCAGGGAGCAGGGGGCUGAAUUUUGUCAAAAUGACCUAUUUGUGAUGAAGAGCCAGAUGGCCUCAAAGCAGGUGUGAUUUAGUAAAACGUUGUGUGUUCCCUCCUCAACAGUCUUCGCAGGGUUUAGUUUGCUGUUUGCUUUCAAUCCUAAUGAGAAAAGCAGGAAUUGCACUGGUGGCUUUGGGGAGAGCCAAGGAUCUCUCUGGUGCCCCAUUUACCACUAAGCACUUGGGACCAUCAUCCUCAGCAACUGAGCCCUGCACCAUCCACAGCUCACAGCGCUUUCCCCAGCACCAGCAUCUUUGUAGGGGGCUCAUUCUCACAGGUGUUGCCUAGAAUUAGGUGGAAACAGGCAGCCUGAGCAGGGUGCCCUGUGCCGAAUUUAUAUGCAACAGAACUAACUCUCAUGGUCUAUGAAGUGCAAUCUGCCACUGAAGUAUGGAAAAACAUUCACUCCUCUGCAACUUCAAAGGCUGCGAUAAGGUCAGAGAUGUACGGAGCACAUGCUUUCUGUAGCCACGGACUACCGGGAGUGCUUCACCUCUCUCUGUAGACCUUCUGUCCCUGCUGGGUUGCCCCUCCACAUCACUGCCGAGGUGCAGGAUGCUUUGCUUAGGUGCGUGAACAUGACGGUUUUCUCCAUGUUGAGAUCCACAGCUUCUCUGUGCAAAAGUUGUGUUGCCAAUAGGUGGCAUACUUCUCCUGCCUCUGGGGACUGAAAAGGCUUGCUGCGUGUCUGAACUAGGUCUGAUCAAAUGCUGAUAGCUGUUCAGUUCAGCACACACACUAUCUUUCUCUGUUAGAGCUCUCUAUGCAGGAGGUAAUUAAUUAGUUCUCUGAUGUGUGACUUGGACACUUCCUGCUCUUCUGCGAACUUGACAGAGAGUGUGGAAUAAUGUCCUCAAAGUGCUGUAGGGAGUAACUAAAGUCCAUAUAGAAAUAUCCAGGUUAUAUAUCUCAUGGCACUUUUGUAAAUUAAACCUUUUGGCAUGAAGAACAGCACCCCACUUGCAAUAAAAUAAACAGUUUUUAAGAAACCCGUGUUAACCAAGGUCUCUGCUGGAACUUAGCCUUGAAUGUAUUGUUGUCUUCAGUAGAGCUGUACACAGAGCACACAGUUAAGCAUAUCUGUAAUUCCAGUCUUUGCACAUUCACUGAAACAAAGUCGUAAUUGCACAGACCUAUUGGCAGGAUAAAGAUUCCAAUUUUGACCUGAAGAGAAAACUGUGGUUUUAGUUGUUAGUUUCCACAGGGAAAAACAAAAACAAAAACCCAAACAGAUUGCUUAUUGUUUCAUUAUUCAGCAGUUUCUCAUCUUGUCUUUUCAGCAAUCUGUUUCUUUGGUCUGGAAUAAAUAAGCAGAGCGCUUUUCAGAAACAUACUAUUUUAUCUAACUUUGUUUCCAAUGCUGGGAGGUGAAUUUUAGCACUCACUUUGGCAUAGCCAGAAUUAAGCUAAUGCUGAGUAUAUUCCAAAACCCUGCUGAGGACCUGGUAACAUCACUGAGUUCUCAGGUAGCUACUUAGGCAACAGCAGUGCCCAACAGACAAUAUUCUCUGUUUUCUCCCAUGUAUGUCUGUCCUUGCACAACCGAUUUUCCUUCCAGAAGUCAAAGCAGACAGAUUGCCUAGUUGAUAACUAGAAAUGAAAUAAAAUGAGUUUCAUUUCCUUUGGGGAAAAAAAAAAAUUAAAAGCAAUACAUUACAUAGAAAUUCCAUUGGAAGCCUAUUCCAAAUUUCAGCUUCUCCACACAUUUUUAGUUCCACUGUUACUUUUUUGUUGAAUUUUAUGACCAGCUUGAUUAUGAAGUUUUCUCUUUGUGGGUGGUGAGAUAAAAUGACUUAAGUCCAUGUCAGUGGAAUUUCAGUUUGUUACCACAUGGUACAAUAACUUCGUGUUUUGUCCAAAGAACAGAAAAUUCAGUUCAAAGUUUCAUGAAUAAAUGCCCUGAAAGCUGAUAAAAACACAUCUUAUCAGUAAAACAGUGAAGGUUACUAGCCAGCAGCUUCCAAAUUUGUUAUUCUAAAACCAUGGCAACUACAGAUCUUUUUUAGAGUCUGUGUCUGUAGAUCUUAAAGAAGAAAAGGUCAUUCUUAAGCUUCCUUGAAAACAAUACCUUGCUUUUUGAGGCAAACGUAUUGACAAGCUGGUAUCUUUUUGUUCUCUUGAUUUUAUACUGAGUUCAAGUAGUCACAUUUUUAAUGGAGGCUCUUCUUCAGAACGUCUCCUAAUUCACAUCUAACUACUGCAUGAAAUCAGGUGCCCACCAAACUAGUUUGGUCUUGGAGGUCUGAUUCACCUUACAUGAGUCUAGAUUGACUCCGUGAGUUUGUCACUGUUAGACAAAAUGGGGCCUGCAGAAUCAAAAACUAUACUUAAUUUUGCGUUAAUGGGAAUAGCACUGAACAUUCUAAAUAUUCAUGCUGACUAGAAGCAAAAGCACCACUGAUAAUGAUGGAUCCUGUAUUUUCCACAUGCAGGAUUUUAACUGAAGCUCUGCUUCCUCGUGUGUAUCCACCUUCUAUUCAUACUGUUUUCCUUUUUUCACACAUUUUCUGACAGACAAUGAACAUGAGGGUUGGUCUUUUUAAUACACACUGAACCCUGUACAUUUUCCAGUAAUGUAAGGAAUGAUUAGCCAUCUUUUGGGAGACUUUAUCAAUCUUUUCAAGUUUCUAGAUUUUUGUUUCAAAGUUUCUAGUUUUUGUUUCAUAUAUUUGGCAGGUUAAAUUAAGUGCCUGCCCCUCCACUUCCUUUUGUGAGGUGCUGUAGGCAUCCAUGAGGUCUCACCCAGUGUCCUCUUCUCUGGGCUGAACAAACCAAGCGGGGCAUGCAGGAAGGCACGCCCUGGCCUUGUAGGAUUUCUAGCUAUGGAGCACCUAGCCAAUUGAACCAUGGACAUCAAUGUUCUGAAAUGAACAGCCACAUCAAAGUACGCAGGCUUCCUCGAAGGAAGCUGGGAACACCAAAGCUGUUACAGUGCUGACAACAAUGAGCAUACAGUGCCUGAUCCUGCAGCAGGACAUUGGAGAUUGUAGGACUCAAGUUUCUGUUAGACUCUCAACAUUCUCAGACUUGUGGUUCUUUCACCAGGAGCCGAGUCCUAGGCCUUAUCACUUGGCUCUCCACUCUGCCAAUAGGAUCUGUGAGAAAUUUGUUGCAACACAGAAUUUGCAAAGCUUCCAAGUUCCUUACCCAGUGAGCCAGGUAUCUGGCAGCUAAGGCUGGUGUGGAAAACACUUAUUAAGACAUAGGAAGCAGAUAUAACACAUAAAUCAGGCAAUUUGACCGUUUAUAAGCAAGGGCCGGGGGAUCACCUCAUUACCACCAGGGACACAAGGCAGGAUUCUUUUGGUUAAAGAAAGUCACUAGUCUCUUUGUAAUCGGAUUAGCUAAGGUGCCUUGAGAUACUCAAAGCUCAGCAAGAUGAAUCUUUGUUUGCAGCUUUCAUACUCACGGAGAGAAGUCAGAAACGUAAGUUCACUUUAUCUGGCUUAGAAGCCAGACAAUUUAUUUAUAAUUUAGUUCUUAUAAUUUAGUCUCAUGAAAUAUUUUUGAGACCUGUAGAUAGAUUAUAAAUAUGCUCGAUCAGCAAUAUUGAACCACUGUUGAUAAAAGCCAUUUGAACAGAAAGCAAAUGUCAAGGACUCAGAAUGGGGUUGGAGGGCAGCGUAGAGGAAUGGCCUAGCGAGUAUAGCCGCUGGCUAAUUGAUCCAAAAGACAACACUAAAAGCUUCAUGGGCAAAGACUUUGUUAAUAUUUCUUAUCAGAACUUGAGAAGAAUUCUCAGGUUAGCAUUCAAAUUUGACAAACAAAAGCAACCAACUAUUCAGACUUUGCAAAGCAGAUACCUCUGAUUCCUCUUUUUAAUUCUUCCACAUCAGUAUCUGGACCAAUCCAUCUGUUACUUUUUUAAGAGAACCAUGUGAACCAUACAGAUCUAUGUUCAGCUUAAUCACAUUAUUAUUAUUAUUAUUAUUUUAUCUCAGAUGACAUUCUUUGACUCUUGGAAUGUAGUGAUGCUCCUCUCUUUUAAAAUCAUGCUUUCCUAAAGUCUCUCAAAUGAAGUAUUCCACAGCACCUGUCUGUUUUGAAAAACUUUUAGUCAGAGUUUGCAAGCAUGACUGUAGAGAAAACAAACAAACAAAAAAAAGAAGCAUUCCCUUCUAAGAGAUUGGUAUGUGCUGGUAAUAUCCUUGAGGGUUUAAUUCACAUUUAAGAGAGUACUGGACCUGGAACUGCAAGCUGGAGAUCACCUAAUAAGUGUGGUCUGUUUGAAUGCUGCUUGAAGAGCUGUUAGCUGUUAAAAAUUAUUGAUUUUUCAAAAUACAGAAAUAUGCAUGCUCAGGUUUGGCUAACUGAACUUUACUUCUAUGGCUAACACAAAAAUGUUGAGAUAUUUUGCUGUUUUUGGAUUAACCUGCAGGGACACAAAGCUUCAUGUCAAGUUUGUGAUGAUGGAGGAAUUCAUUACAACAGAGUAAUUAAUAUGCAGGAACAGAUUAUCUUCUUAUGUCAGUGAGUAGAUGAAAACAUCAGCUUUCAAAAUGUCUUAACCACACUACUUGAAAAAAUAGGACAACCCCAGUCCUAGCUGUAGCAGGCUUGCUUGUCAGGCUGCAGAGCUCUGGACCUCAUUUCUUCCUGUUCACCUUUGCCUUUUGUUCUCAGAACUUCAGAGUUCCCUGCUGAUAUGUCAGGCAGUGAGCCCUACUUCUCUGCAGAUGUUGGCUUUGACGAAAUUGAAAACUUACAUUCUGAUACAAGUGCUGAAAGAAGCGAAGUCUUCAGUUACAGCUGAGCUUGGUUUAGUACAUACUGGAUGGAAAGGAUCCUUCUCUGCACAUCCAUUUGUCUCCAGUGGGCAGUAAUCAUUCCUCCAAUGGAGAGGACCUACACAGGGUUCCGUAAACUUCUAUUAUCCUGUUAAAGUAUUUGUUCAGGCCCCGACUCUUAGCUGAAGAAAUUGCUAAGGCAAUAGGGGGUACCUGAGGAGGAAAUUGCCAUUACUCCUCCAAGGCUUCUUUAAUUUUUUUAUUUUUUUUUUCAGUUUUCAUUGUUGUUACAUUUAGGAAUUGCUUACUAAGAAAUAGAGGAGAGAAUAAGAAUGUUUACAGUUCAUCUCAAAUAGACAAAAUUAUAACUUUCCAAGGAACAAGUAAACAUUUAAAUUCCAGAGACCCUAACAGAAAAAAAAACAACCUGCCCAAGUUCAGAGUACAACUGUGGCACUAAGAUAAAAUCUGUCUCUAUGGAAAUGGACACAAAAGAGAAAAUGCUUAUCAGCUCUGCAGUUUUUAAGGCCAGAAUGGGAAAGCUGUGAGUUUACUGUGAAAUUAAAUUAAAAAAAAAAAAAAAAAGGAAAAAGUCAGAGUGUCUGCACUGCUGAAGGGCAGUGGCACUCGAUGGUGCAGUAACAUUUGGGUAUGGCAGCUGCAGACCUGGGGAGUCCAUAUACAAGCACAGAAAUUCUGCAGUUCAACAGCUCCUUAGGCAUGAAGUAUUUUUUUUUUUUCAAGUAUUCAAGAGUUUAAAGUUGGCAGCAAAGGCAGUGGCUCCCAGAAUCAUCAGUUCAUUUGCAAAAUGCUUUUCUUCUGAUUUUAUAAAAUACAUCUGCUUAAACUUACAAAAAAAUCUGUGUACCCACAGAUUUCAUAAAUUGGAGGCCGCAGAUAAACACGUUAAAGGAAUUCUAAACAAAAACACCCCAAACAUUUCCUGCCAUUCCUCAGAGAUUUUCAGUAUCACUUUCAUUGCUAAACGUGAAAUAUGCCAAGUAUUGAGAAUAAAUACUAACCAUCUCUUGCCAAACAAAAGCUUUCAGCUUUGGCUCUCUACUGAACUGCAUUCACUGAAUGGUUCUAUACCACGAAAGACCAUCGCUCGCUGCAGUUAACUGCGUUUGGACUUUUCCAGGCACAGUGUCAUCAACAACUUCCUUGAGACUGAAUGGCAUUUUUUUCACUAUUGGAAACAAGAAUAGCCACAACAGAGGCAGACUGGUGAAAAGGAUGAACCACAGAGGCUCAAGUAAGAAUUUUCAGAAACUACGCAAGAUGGAAGAAAAUGGUGACUUCUGACUGACUGCUGCACUGCGCUUGAUAUACUUGCUAACUUGCCUGCAGUUUUCUCUCAGCAAGUAAAACCAAUAAGGAAGAUAUUCCAUCUAAAAGAUGUUAAAGUAAUAAAAACUGAGUUAAAAAAAAUAAAUCACACAGCUUCUUCUUGCAGAAGUUGAGGACAGAACUGUAGAAGAGACACAGGUCAUCUAAAAAAUAAGCAAAGAGGAAGGAACUAACUUCCCCAUUCUGAAAUUCCAUGAUAUUCAGCAAUGUGAAUGAAUAAACAACUAUGAGACACAUCACAGAGGUGGGGAUUGGGCCACUGCUUGUCGAUGUAAGGCAACCAGGAGCCUGCACAUUCAUCUUACUAAUACCCAUAGAGCAACGAAUAUACAACCAAAGUAUCUUGCAAUUAUAUGCGUGUAAUAAGCUCCAUCGGUAUAAUCAGGAAAGAAACUUUUCAGAAACCACUAUAAAUGAUCAGAAAAUGGUUUUUUGAAGCACCUCACACACACAACUUCAUGAUGUACAUGAAAUAACAGUGCUAAAACUGAGAUAUUAAGAGUUGCACAGAGUUGAUUUCUCAUGCAGUAGUUCUAAAUCGUAAAGAGAAAGCUGAGAAAAAUGUGUUUUUCUUUCAAUGGGAAAGCAUCAUUUAAAGCAACUAUAUACCAGGAACUUGAAAGAGUAAGAAUCUGCUCUGAUCACUGGGUAAUGAUUGCAAUUAACAUUGUAUAGAAAAGCAAUAUACUAUUAAAAAUGUACUAUUGGGAAGAUAUAUUCUUGAAAAUACAUGUUGGAACAAUUAGAGCCUACUAAAACCUGAUCAACAAGACAGAAAACAGGCUUGCACUGACUUCUCCCAGAUCUGCUUGCAAGGCUUCUCAAGACCUUUAGGGCUAGCAUGGUGUGAAAGAACAUUUUUCCAACUUUGCAACAGUAAAUGUGUUGUUAACAGGCAAUUAGGAAACCACCUAAACAAAAAGUAAGGGAUAACUUUGAAAGAGGAGGCAUUAAUAUACGUCUGUGUGUGCCUGUCUUGCGAUGGACUUUGGAUGAUAUAAUGUCACAUUAUGCCAUCAGGUUAUUCAGUUCAAGCAUAAGAUUGUUAUAGGAAAAACAUACACCAUCUCUAGCAGUGCUUACACAAAAAAAUUUCAAACACACAUGAAAAAAAAUUUUGGUAUGCUUUUCAGCAUAACUAAGAAGUCUCUGCUUUAGAGAUGUGCUUGAUGUUAGAGAAUGUAGGUGGGAACAACAAGGUCUUUAUCCUAUCUUGUCUCUGUCACUUUGAAGAAAGCACUGAGUAUUGAAUAUUUUGGCUACUCUUCUCUGUGUCCUGAAUUUUGGCAUGAAGUUCAGUUUUGUAAAAACUGUUCUGGUGUUGAGGAUGCAGAUUCGUCCUCUUGAAUCUGUUUCAGCAGAGGACUAGAAAUAUAAGCUACUAAUAAUCCACAAUUGCAAACUGAACUUAUUGGAAUUAGGUAUUUGACUUAUUAAGGUGUAGUUAGUCUAUGGAUAGUAAUUCUUGUUGAUUUAAGCGUGCUUAUUUUAAUGAGAGAAAAAGCUGGAAAGUUGAAGGUGAGCGGCUGAUCACUCAGCAUGAAUGGCCUAAUGUGAAAACUAGGGAUGUGCCCAAAAUAUAGACCCUGUGAUGGAAUACUGUUAGCAGGUCUCUGCCUAUUCUGCUACAGUAAUCAAAUCCUUUCAGUGUUUAUGUUUGCUCAUUGGACAGGCAUUCUUGCUCACUUUAUAUCUAUGAGUCCAUCUCUGUUCAAAUAAAAAGCAUAUAUCUGUUUCAGCUGUUUGACUUGUUUUACAUGGGAGCCAAACAUCAGUGAUAAGAAUAGCAAACAUAAUGCACCAGAGCAGGAAAAGACUGGUAGCUGAUCCCAUGUCCCAGACCACAGACACUUACUGAGAAAUUUACUGAUAAUUAAAGUUAUUUUGAAGAUGACUUACUGCCCAAUGAAAAAAAAAAUACUUGCUAAGCCACAUGUCCAUCAGCACAGCACUGGUAGAAGGAGACAGCAACACCUUUUUCAGCAUUAUCAUAGAAUCAUUAAAAGCGAAGAAGACUUCCAUGAUCAUCCAGUCCAACUGUUGACCCAUCCCCUCUAUGCCCACUGACCAUGUCCCUCAGUGCCACAUCUCCAUGUUUCUUGACACCUCCAGGGACAGUGACUGCACCACCUCCUUGAGCAGCCCUUUCCAAUGCAUCACCACUCUGAGAAGAAAUUUUUCCUAACAUCCAACAUGAAUCUCCCCUGCUGCAAUCUGAGGCCAUUCCUUCUCAUCCCAUCGCUGUUACCUGGGAAAAGAGGC